rnacentral:tRNA from 2 species
GGGAAGAUAGUUCAGUGGCAGAACAUCAGAUUGUGGCUCUGAAUACCCGGGUUCGAUUCCCGGUCUUCCCUC